CAGGCAGCCAAUAAGGGGAUAAACACCGUAGCAUUAACGUCCAAGAGAUGUGCUGAUCUAUAAACAUACAUAAUUUAUCAUAGCGAGGAUUCCGGAGUGAAGAUGCUCAUGUGUAUUAAAAAGAGUGAGGGGAAGGAGAGAUGAUAGAUUAAUUAAGGCUUAAUCCACUGGAGUUGGUUUGCUCUGCCGUACCGAGGGACACAGCAUCCGGUUCAUUUAUAAAACCUGUGGCAGUGGCACCUUAUUAGAGCUGAUGGGUCUACAUUCUGCUGAUGUGAGUUAUAAGAGGCAGGACAUGUUUUCUGAAUUAAUGUUUCUCAUGUUCGCCUACAGUCCUGUAGACAUGCCAGGGUUUUUAUAACCCCGUUCGGAGCUACAUAUCUGCGUAAUAAGAUGUGCGAGAGAAGAAGACCGGCUCUCCUGUUGAAAUCCGGCUACUGUAGGAGAGGGGUCAGCGUCCCAUCCUCCUUGGGAACUGCAUCCGAGCUUUAAUCCAACUCUACUCUCUCAGGCAUGGUUAACAUGAAAACAAAUGACUGCGGUCGGCCGGAGGAUGUUUGACAAGCAGCAGUGAAUAACCACAGCAAGGCUGAAGAUAUUCUUGGCCGCCAGCAUCGUGAGAAAAUGUGGCUAAGCUCAGAAAUAUUCUGGGGGAAGACCAAAAUCUGGAAGCAAUUAAGAAAGACCCAAAAUAAGUAAAUUCCAUAUUACCUCUGUGGACAUUGUAGAAGGGUGGCUGGCGAAAUGUAUUUUUUUUUGUGAGGUUUACUUUCUGGAGCUUAGCAACAUAAAUUUGUUGUCACUGAACUAUUAAACACAGCGGACACAUGUUGGCGGAGUUCGAAGGAAAGGUGCAUGAAACUGAUCAUAGGAUAGCCCAUGUAAUAAUAUAGGAAAUGGGCCCGCUGUUGGACUUCAAUAUCCCCCGACAACACUCAGCUGUCAAUGGCCUCCACCAUGGCCAGGAUGCAUGGCGGCUUCUGCCAGAAACACAGGAUUUAUCCUCCUUCACAUGGAGCCAGUGAGAGGAAAUGCCUACAGUCAGUGGGAAUCCAUAAAGGAGGGACGGGAGAGAGAAAAAAUAAGAUUAAGGGAAUGAGAACGAGAAUGAGUGGAAAUGGAAAAAGUCGUGGGAGGAAGGCAUGGGAUGAGAUACAGGCGAGCUACAGUUGUGGCAGCGCUGCACACCCUACAGAUGACCUCUUUUCUCAUUAAGAGCCCGGGCCUCACCAUUUAUCUUCCCCAUCAGAGCUGCUUCACACAGACCGCACCGACAGACACUGCUUCAUAAUUAUGCCAAAUAUAAAUUUACAAUGAAUAAUGAAUACAGCUGCAUUAAUGGUGUCCUUACUGCUGUGAAUCACACCUGCUAAAAGACAAGCCGCUUUCAGAGAGAGUUGCUUCUUUAUGCCCAGAACUCUCUCACAACCUCUCUCACACUUAGGUUAGGAAACCUUUAUUGACAGCAGUGGUUCUCAGCUGGUGGGUCACGACAUGAAAUGAGGCAAAAACAAAAACAUGCAAUCAUGCAUAUGUAGGACAGCAAAGUAAAUAAGCUUAUCAAUGCCUCACAUUUCUUUCGCUGCCAUGGAAGUGCAUUUAUACCAAGCGGCAACCUCCCGCUCUCUCUUGUGAAGACAACAAGGAAGUGACUUAAACUGAAAUUCGUCAACUGGCCGCUAGAGGCUGUCUGCAAAAGGAAGUCAAUCCCAUAGACUCCCCAUGUUAAACUGCCCAACUUUAUAGCAGAAAAAAAAAAAAAACCAUGUUUACAGCCUGGUUCAAAAAAUGAUUUUGGUCUAUAUAGCUAAUUUUACCCUUCAUGACAACUGUGAGUGGGGUGAUUUUUUUUUUUAUAACUCAUCCGUUUAAAAGAUAUUAAGCCUAAAAGUUCUGCAUAAUUAAGUGCGUGGCCACUUGAGUGACAGGUGGAUUGCCGCUGCUGACACUGCCGUCGCGCUAAGUGGGCAUGGCUUCAACAACCAGCUCCCCCCUUUUUGCCCAUUUUCGCUUAACGAUCAACGGCCGGCUCCGCCUACUUUAGACUUCAAUAACGCACUUCGGAAAUCUAUGGGUGACGUCACGAACACUACGUCCAUGUUUUAAUACAGUCUAGGAGUCAUACUCAAUCAUAUGCUUAGGCUAUGUAAUUCUGAAGAUACCAAAGUUAAAGAAACCCAAACGGUAAAUACAUUAAACAAAAACUCAAAACACU
ensembl:lncRNA